AACAUCGCGCACCUGCGGGAACCUGCGGAGGGAUCAUUACAGAGUUGCAAAACUCCCUAAACCAUUGUGAACGUUACCUAGACCGUUGCUUCGGCGGGCGGCCCGGGUCCUUCCCGGCGCCCAUCGGCCCUCGCGGGCGCCCGCCGGAGGUAAACCAAACUAUUGCAUUGUAUGGCCUCUCUGAGUCUUCUGUACUGAAUAAGUCAAAACUUUCAACAACGGAUCUCAGAUCGGAAGAGC
rnacentral:misc_RNA from 1 species